UACGGAGGGGGCUAGCGUUGUUCGGAAUUACUGGGCGUAAAGCGCACGUAGGCGGCUUUGUAAGUUAGAGGUGAAGGCCCAGGGCUCAACCCUGGAAUUGCCUUUAAGACUGCAUCGCUUGAACAUCGGAGAGGUAAGUGGAAUUCCGAGUGUAGAGGUGAAAUUCGUAGAUAUUCGGAAGAACACCAGUGGCGAAGGCGACUUACUGGACGAUUGUUGACGCUGAGGUGCGAAAGCGUGGGGAGCAAACAGG
rnacentral:rRNA from 1 species